AAUUUGAAUAUCAGCUCUGCUUACAAGAUAUCAUCAUCCUAAACUUUACAAAAUAUGAAGAGUAGUGAUCUAUAGUAUCAUGAGUAAGUCUCAUAAUAGAUUCCCUGUCACAAGCAAAUCAUUCAUUCUAUGAGCUUGAAUCCUAGAUCCACAAAUAAUCAUUGCAGUUUUUUGAUUGAUAGGGCUAAAUGGGCAACUCAUACAAGGGAAAGCAAAAUAUUAAGACAAAGAAAGGGAAUUUGGAAUAAUAAUAGAAUUUAGAUCAAGUUAUGGAAAAAUGAACAGAACAGUGAAAAAGAUAAUACUUACAAUGUUGGGUAGUAGAUAGGCUUCUGGAUCUAAUGCUGGGCUGUCAGUCUUCCUUAUAUUUGUGACAUGUCCAAUAAAAGCCAAGAUAGUCUAGAUGCUGUCAGUCUAUAGAAUCUAGUGUGACUAUGGCUGUUUAUUGAUUUCUGAAGAAAUGAACAUAAAAUCCCGGUAUUUCUUUUUUAUAUAAUUGUUAAGUAUAUUGUUUUUGUUUCUGUGAGUUGGUAUAAUACAAAUGGGUGAAAAGAACAACAAUCAUGACCAAUUAUGAUUGCUGUUUUCCAGCUUUAAUCUAUUGUCUGUACACUUGUUAUAAGAGAGGAUCAACUUCUUGUUGUAUUCUUUCCUUAAGACCAUGGGAUAGAUGUUGCUAUCCCCAAGAUGAAAAUAGAUGUAAGCUUCUAUUAUCUUUAACAAUGAAAAUAUACAAUAUAAAUUAUAUAUGUUAUGGUAAAAGUGAUUAAUUGAUGAUUAUAUAUAAUUGCCAGUUAUUAUGCAUAAUCACCAAU
rnacentral:lncRNA from 1 species